rnacentral:rRNA from 1 species
AUUGAACGCUGGCGGCAGGCCUAACACAUGCAAGUCGAGCGGAUGAUGGUAGCUUGCUACCUGAUUCAGCGGCGGACGGGUGAGUAAUGCCUAGGAAUCUGCCUGGUAGUGGGGGACAACGUUUCGAAAGGAACGCUAAUACCGCAUACGUCCUACGGGAGAAAGUGGGGGAUCUUCGGACCCCACGCUAUCAGAUGAGCCUAGGUACGAUUAGCUAGUUGGGGAGGUAAAGGCUCACCAAGGCGACGAUCUGUAGCGGGUCUGAGAGGAUGAUCCGCCACACUUGAACUGAGACACGGUGCAGACUCCUACGGGAGGCAGCAGUGGGGAAGUCUGGACAAUGGGGUCAACCCUGAUCCAGCCAUGCCGCGUGAGUGAAGAAGGCCUUCGGGUUGUAAAGCACUUUGAGCGAGGAGGAGGCUACUUGGAUUAAUACUCUAGGAUAGUGGACGUUACUCGCAGAAUAAGCACCGGCUAACUCUGUGCCAGCCGCCGCAGUAAAAC